CUGGAAACCGGCCUCUCAGAUUCCCCUUACCUGAUUCAAAGAGCCUCUUUGGCCUAAAAGCCAACCCUGGCAGUGACCCGCACGCACACACGCACACACACACACACACACGCGCACACACCGACAGCAGCCUCGGAGGUCACUCUGGACGGAUUCCCUACACCACAGGUGAAGCCGGGAGCAGCUCUCACCGGGGCUGUGGGUGCGGUGGGCGGGCUGGGUGCGCACCCCACCUUCUCGCCUCUUGGGGACAGUGCUGCGGCGGAUUCCACGCGGUCUCGAGUGUCCUCAGCGAGACUGAGCCCCUGUGGCCCUCUGGACACCUGCUCAGGCACGAGCCCCGUACUCCCGUUGUACCCAAAUGCUCGCCUCAGGUCCGCUGGGGGGGAAACCCAAGCUCGAACGACUUCUUCCUGUUUUCUUCUGAAAAUUCCUGACUCUGUUCCCAUUCGUCUUUCUGCGUUUCAGGAGAGGCAGCACCCAGCCCAGCCAAGCCCUGCCCCUCUCCUCUCCCGCCUCGCCUCGAACAGUCCCUUCCUCCUCCCGGUGCCUCCUCGCCUGCACAGGCUCCCACCACAGAUCCCGACCGGCCUCCGGGUGCCUCCGGGUUUCCCCUCCCUACCCAACCCCCGCCUUCAACUGCAGCCCCGCGGUGCGCGGCGAGGACGUUUCCACCAGCGACAGCCUGGCCUCCAAGGGUGCACCUGGUACCGCGCGGGUGUCCCGCGGCACACCCUCUGGGGGUGCGAGGGCUCUCGGUGGCCUCCACAGAGGACGUGAAGGGCCCGUUUCCCGGAACGGCCGUGCCGCUCAGCCGCUCAGCCGCGCGCGGGACUGGGAGCCGCUUCAUUGACUCGUCUGCCCGGAGGAUCCCGCUGCUUCCUCACGUCCUGUAUCUUUCUAGAAACAUCCUGACCAUGACCCACAUGUGACACAGCUCAGCCAGUAGAUUGAGGCUUCCUGAGCAUAGAAGAGGAGGCUUACGGACCACCAUACCACUGCUCCCAGUGCAGAAGAGGUGAGCCACCUGGGCAUCAGCAGCACCGCACCCACCCCCUUAUCAAAAUGAGAAGACACAUAAACAAGUCUCAAAACCAGACUUCCAGAUCACCUACAGCAACCCCAAAGGGAAAUGAGAUGGAACACUCUGAUACUCAACCACCUGGACUCCCUGAACUGGUAACAAAAGAGAAUAUGGAAAAAGCAAGAGCAGCUAUCCUCUUUGCAGAUCAAGUGGAUUUCGAACCAACACUGAUUAAGAGAGACAAAGAAGGACACUACAUCCUUGUAAAGGGAACAAUCCAAGAGGAAGAGAUGACAAUCAUAAAUAUAUAUGCACCAAACACUAGUGCGCCC
rnacentral:lncRNA from 1 species